AACGCUAGNUACAGGCUUAACACAUGCAAGUCGAGGGGCAUCAGGGUAGCAAUACCGCUGGCGACCGGCGCACGGGUGAGUAACACGUAUCCAACCUACCGUUAACUCGGGGAUAGCCUUUCGAAAGAAAGAUUAAUACCCGAUAGUAUAUUUUCUUCGCAUGUUGAAAAUAUUAAAGAAUUUCGGUUAUCGAUGGGGAUGCGUUCCAUUAGGCAGUUGGCGGGGUAACGGCCCACCAAACCUACGAUGGAUAGGGGUUCUGAGAGGAAGGUCCCCCACAUUGGAACUGAGACACGGUCCAAACUCCUACGGGAGGCAGCAGUGAGGAAUAUUGGUCAAUGGACGCGAGUCUGAACCAGCCAAGUAGCGUGAAGGAUGACUGCCCUAUGGGUUGUAAACUUCUUUUAUAUGGGAAUAAAGUUCUCCACGUGUGGAGUUUUGUAUGUACCAUUAUGAAUAAGCAUCGGCUAACUCCGUGCCAGCAGCCGCGGUAAUACGGAGGAUGCGAGCGUUAUCCGGAUUUAUUGGGUUUAAAGGGAGCGUAGGUGGACUGGUAAGUCAGUUGUGAAAGUUUGCGGCUCAACCGUAAAAUUGCAGUUGAUACUGUCAGUCUUGAGUACAGUAGAGGUGGGCGGAAUUCGUGGUGUAGCGGUGAAAUGCUUAGAUAUCACGAAGAACUCCGAUUG
rnacentral:rRNA from 1 species